GCGGAAGGAUCAUUAAAGAGUAAGGGUGCUCAGCGCCCGACCUCCAACCCUUUGUUGUUAAAACUACCUUGUUGCUUUGGCGGGACCGCUCGGUUCCGAGCCGCUGGGGAUUCGUCCCAGGCGAGUGCCCGCCAGAGUUGAACCAAACUCGGCGGGGCCGCUCGGUUCGAGCCGCUGGGGGAUUCGUCCAGGCGAGUGCCCCCAAAGUUGAACCAAACUCUUGUUAUUAAACCGGUCGUCUGAAUUUAAAAUUUUUAAAUAAAAUCAAAACUUUCACAACGGAAUCUCUUGGGUUCUCCAUCCAUGAAAAAACGCACCAAAAUGCGAAAAAGUAAAUGGUGAAAUUGG
rnacentral:misc_RNA from 1 species